rnacentral:rRNA from 1 species
UGGGGAAUUUUGGACAAUGGGCGAAAGCCUGAUCCAGCAAUGCCGCGUGUGUAAAGAAGGCCUUCGGGUUGUAAAGCACUUUUGUCCGGAAAGAAAUCCUUGGCUCUAAUACAGUCGGGGGAUGACGGUACCGGAAGAAUAAGCACCGGCUAACUACGUGCCAGCAGCCGCGGUAAUACGUAGGGUGCAAGCGUUAAUCGGAAUUACUGGGCGUAAAGCGUGCGCAGGCGGUUUGCUAAGACCGAUGUGAAAUCCCCGGGCUCAACCUGGGAACUGCAUUGGUGACUGGCAGGCUAGAGUAUGGCAGAGGGGGGUAGAAUUCCACGUGUAGCAGUGAAAUGCGUAGAGAUGUGGAGGAAUACCGAUGGCGAAGGCAGCCCCCUGGGCCAAAUACUGACGCUCAUGCACGAAAGCGUGGGGAGCAAACAGGAUUAGAUACCCUGGUAGUCCACGCCCUAAAACGAUGUCAACUAGUUGUUGGGGAUUCAUUUCCUUAGUAACGUAGCUAACGCGUGAAGUUGACCGCCUGGGGAGUACGGUCGCAAGAUUAAAACUCAAAUGAAUUGACGGGGUCAUAGCUGUUUCCU